rnacentral:lncRNA from 1 species
CGAGCUAAGUGAUCGUGGGGUUACUCUCCUGGCACAUCAUUUCUACUCUCCGACAAAAUCCACCCGUCUAAGUUCCUCUCCCUGAAGGCUACAAAACCAGAAAGGCUUGGCUGAAUCUGUUUCGAAACACAAAUCCAGGAUUAGAGAAGAACUCUACUGUUUGGAAUAGUGGUGGACUCGAUUCUUUGGAAUAUCUUGGUGAGUGAAAUGAAGUCACCAGCAAUAUUUUCUCCACACUGGUCACCGUGGGAACCGAAAGCAGUGAAGCCCAGUGGACUGACAACUGAGACGAUGCAGAUGCCACAGUAUGGGGGUCUAGGGGGCCAUCCUAAGAUGGGUAACACUUUGCUCAGAAGCUGGGACACCUACUGCUUCCUGCCCAGAUACAUCCCUAAAAGGACUUUAAAAGACUUUCUUUGAAGUUUGACGUAAAAAAAGAACUUUUCGGAAAUUGACUUUGUUUGAAGGAGCCUCCACCACUGCCACCACACCUACACGGGCAUUGUUUAGCUAGACAUCCUUGAAGGAGCCACACAGAUAUCCUGAAGACAGGGCCAUAUGACAGCGCCAGAACGAGUCUUCCUUGGACUACAAUCUGAUGAACAGAAACUUGCUUCACACACAUGCUUCACAGGAUCUGGAACUAUCUUCAGGGUUUUUCUUAACCACCCGAGGCACGGUCACCCUCAAAGAAAAAUUAAAAUGGAGAGCUCAAAAUUC